rnacentral:rRNA from 1 species
AUUGAACGCUGGCGACAGGCCUAACACAUGCAAGUCGAGCGGAGCGAGGGUGCUUGCACCUUAGCUUAGCGGCGGACGGGUGAGUAAUGCUUAGGAAUCUGCCUAUUAGUGGGGGACAACAUUCCGAAAGGAAUGCUAACACCGCAUACGCCCUACGGGGGAAAGCAGGGGAUCUUCGGACCUUGCGCUAAUAGAUGAGCCUAAGUCGGAUUAGCUAGUUGGUGGGGUAAAGGCCUACCAAGGCGACGAUCUGUAGCGGGUCUGAGAGGAUGAUCCGCCACACUGGGACUGAGACACGGCCCAGACUCCUACGGGAGGCAGCAGUGGGGAAUAUUGGACAAUGGGCGGAAGCCUGAUCCAGCCAUGCCGCGUGUGUGAAGAAGGCCUUUUGGUUGUAAAGCACUUUAAGCGAGGAGGAGGCUACUUAGAUUAAUACUCUGGGAUAGUGGACGUUACUCGCAGAAUAAGCACCGGCUAACUCUGUGCCAGCAGCCGCCGUAA